rnacentral:lncRNA from 13 species
AUGAGUGUUCUUCCUGUGCUGUUGCUGUUCCACUACCACAGAGGAAGGGGAUCCAGGGACUCUGAUAAGCUCUGUUGGUGUGGUAAUCCUGAGGAGCUGACUAUGGAGAGGGCCCAUACAGCAGUGGAGGGGGUGUUUGAGACCCUCAAAGAGUUGAGCCAUGCCCGAGACCACCUCAAACAGUUCACCUCCGUCUACACAGCCAGCGAUGGAGUACAUCAGGUCAGUCAGUUGCACAACGACCCACAACUCAACAACGCCAUCGGUGUCGGCGGUCGCCCUCACAGUCUAGGGUUACAUCAGACAGGCGUUCUGUGUUCGGCGGUGACUGUGGAACCCAAUCCCUCACUAACACACCUCAUACGCCUCCACAGCAUCCUCCAGAACACAUUACUGUUGUAUUUUCUAGUAGUGAGUUUCUGUCCACAAUGUACAGAAUGUGGGGCUAUCUCCAUUUGUCUAUUCAGCUGUUCAACUAUUCAUUCAUUUUCUGCCCAUACAUACAUCACAGGAGCCUUGUGACACCUUAGUUGGGGAGGAUGGGCUCGUGGUAAUGGCUGGAGCUGAAUUCGUGGAACGGUACCAAAUACAUCAAACACAUGGUUUCUAGGUGUUUGAUGUCAUUCCAUUUGCAUCGUUCUGGCCAUUAUUAUGAGCCGUCCUCCCCUCAGCAGCCUCCUGUGACACCGAUAUAGUACGUAUCUCCACAGACUUAAGACAAUUAUUCUCCCUUUUCUCCUGCCCCUUUUUACACACACCCUUGUGGGAAAUGACAUUGCCUGAAGCCACCUCCGGUAAAUUGCGUCAGAGCCACAGCCUUCUGAAUGAGUCUCUCGCAUCAGUGUCAGAGUGGCACAUUGUCCCUGGAUCUCUGUAUCUUGUGUAACACACAAACCGUCUUCCUCCUCUUCGGGGGGAGUUAUUGUUUGGAGGAGGGCACUGCAGGCCGGCAGCCACACACACACACUGUACCUGUGAAGGACAUAUUCCAUGAUGUAUAUUGCACUCCCAUCUGCUUUUAAUACCGCUGACAGUACCUUCACACUUUAUUUGGAAUUGUCUUGAUUUUACACUCACAAAGAGUUAUGUAUUAUAAUGUUUACUUCAGGUUGUUGAAAAAUCGACCCCCCCCCCCUCUGUGUUCUGCUGGCACCAAACAGUGCCAAAGCAAGGAGGGAGAGAGGCAUUUUGUCAUUACUUUUUUUUUCUUUCAGACACUUUAGAGUCGUGUUCUUUUUCUCAGCGUGGAAGAACACAAUGUCAAAUCUAUCCACUGCCAGUGCUCGGGUUUCUAAGUACAUAGGCUUGAGUACCUGCCUGCAUACACUCAUAUUCUCUCACACUGUGCCACACUGAAGAACACACACACUCACACUCACGCUGGAGACAAAGGGCACAUUGACCUAGACAGAGACAGAUUUAUGUGCUGAAGUAGGACCUACAUGUUGUACAAAAUGACACGUAGUAAUGAUACUUCAGUAGCUGGGUCAGAAUUACUCGUCUUCCUAAGUCAUGGCACAUUUUAUAAUAGGUCUCCGCGGCUCUGUUUGUUCCUGUCUGUCAAUCUCUCUGACUCUGUCAGACGCACUAAAGGAGUGUGACGUGUUUUAAACGAUAUUUUGGGGGUCGGGGCCUUCGGAGGCAGGCUGGGAACAUUGCGUGACUUUGGGCUGACAGAAAUGUCUUCUUGCACAGAACACAUUGUCACCCUUGUCAAGUUGUUGUUGUUUUUUUACUGAAGUGUGCAUCAUAUAGGCCGAC